rnacentral:sRNA from 1 species
UUGGUUCAUGCUCGGCCGAGCGGCCGGU